AUGUCCUUCCCCACCCGAGCGGUGCCGAGGCGGGGGCACGGGACGUCUGUCUGUCCGGGCAGGGCUUCGCCCCUCGAGCACUACAAUCCACCCAGCUUUUACCAAACAGCCUCCCCGGGUAAUUUUCAAGCCGCUCGAAAGGGACUGCACGGGGAUUAUUUGGGGAGGUGGUGCAGCCCUGCAGCGGCUGAGUGCCCGCCUGUCCCUCUCUGUCCGUCCGUCCGUCCGUCUUUCCGCUGGGGGGGAGGCGGGCCGGGCCGGGCCGGCGUUUGGGGCGGGCGGAGGGAAGGAGAGGAGGGAGGGAGAAAGAGAAGGGAGGGAGAGGAGGGAGGGAAGGAGGGGCAGCGCCCCGCCGGCCCCGCUGCUCACACCGACCGCCCCUCGCCCGGCGCAGCGGCGGCGGGGACCCGGCGGCGGCAGCCAGCGCCCGGUCAGACGGGGCAGAAGAGCUGCAUUGCCAACUCUGGGAUGGACUCUGCUGAGGACGCAUAACAUCAUUAGUGCCCUGUGUGCUUCAGAGUGACUUUGGAUGCAGAGCUAGGUGUUCCACGCUGGGAAGGAUGCCCAGGGCUGAUGGGUGCCAUCUGUGUACGGACUGAAAGCUGCUGGUGCAUCUCUGAACAGUCCCGUGCCUGCCAGCCCUGCAGACUUGUGCCUGGUGCCUGUCCCCCUAUCACUGCAGCCCCCUGCACUGGUGGCAUCGUCCCAGCCGGGGGAGGGCACCAGCCAAAUCCCAGCUCCUGCAUGUUCCUAUGUCCUGCCACUGCUUUCUUCCAAAAUGUGGUUGGUGGCUUCUCCAGGAGCAGCUGGCCAGACAUGGUGCCUUCAGAUGCUGAGAGGGGCUGGAAGGAGAGGAGGAGGACCUCAAAGGUCUGGUUGGAGGGUGCAGGCAACAAACAGGUGUAGCAGCUUGCUUGUGUUCAGGUGGUCUGCUUGGAAAUGGUAACCUCUGAACAGCUACACAAAACCUGAGAGAAAGAUCAGGCAAGACAGGCUCCUGUAUGCACAUCACUUUGUGUAGAAGAGAGAGACCAAGGUUCUCCACUAGUGAAAGCUGCAGGUUGCAGUGACCCUGAGGCAAUGCUGCCAUCAACGUACAGACACAACCUGUUAAGAUUUUCAGUGAUCUGUAUUUACAAAACUGGCUAAUUAUAAAUUCUUCCCAGAACUAAUUUCCAUUUGUUUGUACUUCCUCAUUUCACAUGUAGCUUCUCUGUCCAUCACUUACUCUUGUUACAUUAUUUGGCUUGGGAUGAAGGAACAUUAAACAUAUUGAGGAAUUUCCUUCUUUUUUUGUUUUGUUUUGUUUUGUUUACUUUUUGUAUGAGAACUAAAUAAGUCAUUCUCGAGGGAUACCCAGAGCAGAAAUAGAUACUAAGAUAGUAAGUACACUUACUUGACAUAGUUUUAUAUGGUUCACUUCGUGUUUCUUGUUUAAAAGAAGUUAUAUCAGGAUUUAUGCUCUAGCUGCCAUUUCAUCUUCUGGAAGUGUGCUUUUCAGAUACUUUGGCUUGGAUUCUAGACAGCUUUAACGGUCUUUAUUUGG
rnacentral:lncRNA from 1 species